CUGAUUUGUAGCUGCUUUUAUCCACUGUACUGUGGCGUGAUACCUCCAAGAUAUCAUGGAAUAGCCCACAUAACCUUGUUGUGGUGUUUCGUAAGGUCUUGGCUGAGAUGUGUCAAAAUGGAUAUAAGGAUGCUUUCCUUUUUUUUAAAAGAAAAUGAACUCCUGAAGCUCACAUCUCCGCUGUCAGAGCUGACCCUAAUAGAUGAAUGGGAGAAUAUUCCAACAUCUAAGAAAUAUAUUAGUGAAAACAAGCUAAG